CAACCCACUCAGAUUUUUUUCCGUGGUGUGGAAGCUUGUUCUUUCAUUCUUGGCAAUAAAUCUCGCUGUUGUUCGCUCUUUGGGUCCGCGCUGCCCUUAUGAGCUGUAACACUCACCGUGAAGGUCUGCAGCUUCACCUCUGAAGCCAGCAAGACCACAAACUCACUGGAAAGAACAAACAACUCUGGAUGUACUGCCUUUAAGAGCUGUAACACUCACUGCAGAGGUCUGCAGCUUCACUCCUGAAAUCAGCAAGACCACGAACCCACCAGAAGGAAGAAACUCUGGACACAUGUGAGUAUCUGAAGGAACAAACUCCGGACACGCCAUCUUUAAGAACUGCAACACUCACCACGAGGGUCAGCGGCUUCAUUCUUGAAGUCAGCGAGACCAGGAACCCACCAAUUCUGGACACAAUAUGGAUGAAUCUCAGAAACAUGAUGUUCAGCAAAAGAAGCCAGACAUAUAGGGCGCUUGCUGUACAAAUUUUAUUUACAAAAACAGGUGAAAGUGGUAGUGACCAGAAGUUGGCAUGAGGGGGCUUUUGGGUGCUGGCCGUGUUCGUUUGAGUUCUGUUCACGAGGAGGUUCCAUAUGAAUAUAACUUCUUGCCUAAGUUGGUUUAGGUAAGAAGACUCUUCAUGUGCCUGUUUCCUUCAAAUUUUAAGGAGAGCUCUUGCAUGGUGGUAGAACCGAGGACAGCCUAGACCUUCUGAUUGUCAACUCCUUGUUCCAUUGUGUCCAAACCUACAUGUCUGAACUCCUCUCAUCAAAGACUUCUCAAAGUUAUUAAUAACUGGGGAUCACGUAUUCAGUAAUUACACACAUCAGGCUCCAUGCUUUCUGUGCAGUAUGUAAAUUGAUUCAUUGUCAUACUAAUUAUAAAUGGCUAGUAUUAUUGCUGCUUUACAAAUGAGGCAUAUGACACACAGGGAGCUAAAUAAUUUGCCUAAGGUCACCCCACUUGUAAAUGAUGAAGCCAGGACUCAAGGCCAGGUCUGGCCACCCCUGAAUUUAAUAGCUUUAUCCUCUAUAUCUCUGUUUUCUCCCAGACCAAGGUGUCUGUACCUCUCUGCCAACAGAGAAAAGGGUUCAUUCAUUCAUCAAAUGUUUGUUGAGCAUCUAUUGUGACUCAGGCAAUAUCCUAGAUCAAGGAUUGUCAAACUUUUUCUAUAAAGGACAAGAGAGCAAACAUUUUAGGUCUCCUGGGUCAUACGGUCAGUCACUGUGAUUCAACUCUGCUGUUGUAGUACAAGAUUGUGAAAGCAGCCAUAGAUGAUAUGUCAAUGAAUGAGCAUGGUUGUGUUCCAAUAAAAUGUCACUUGCGAAAGCAGGCUGUGGGCUGGGUUUGGGCCAAGAGUUCUAUCCCUGCUCUAGGCACUGGAGUUACAAUAGCAAAAAAUUAAAAUAAAGUAAAAUAAAAACACAAAAAUGCCUGCCUUUGUGGUGCUUCCAUUCCAGAAUGGGGAAGUAAUUGUAUUUCUGUCCCGUUUAUCAUGUAAAAAUUGUCAUAGGAUCUUGGAGUUGCUGAGCACCUAGAGGUGAUCUGUUCAGCAUUUUCCUCCCAGGGCAGCUCUCCACUCAGAACUCUCUUGGCUGGUGAGGGUUCAUUCUGUGUGCCCGGAUCUAGUGUCACCUCACCUUCCAGGGGACCCAUCCUUGUCACAUAGUCCUUGCUUAUCUGUCUUCCUGACAAUUUAACUCACAUCCUACCCUGUUUGGGCAGAGGGCCCCACAUUUUAGCAUAUCAUAAUCACUUUUGGGGCUUGAAACACUUUGAUGGGCUCCACUCUCGAGAUUCUGAUUCAAUAGGUCUGGAGUGAGGCCCAAGAUUUUCCCUUUCUGACAAAUUCCCAGGUAAUUCC
rnacentral:lncRNA from 1 species